ACUGCAACACCACUGAAACUUCUGUGAGUCGUUUCUUCCCCUUUCAGAGACCACUGAGAACACCGAAAUAACCAGAACUUCCCCAUUUAUAAUUAUAUAGAUGUGAACAGCAGUCUCUGACUUAGCGCUUAAGUUCAGAGAACCUAACUCGCAUUGAGCUCAGAACAAGAAUGAAGCAAGUGAACCACGCUUCCUUUUUCCUGUCUGGAAAAGGGAUGUGGAAAACUGUGGGGCUGUACACCUUUUUCCGGAUGUACGCAGACUACUGCAUGAUUGUCUAAAAGGAUGCACGAAAAGAUUAUUCAAAUUCUGGCUUAUAUAGGACAAGCCACUAAAUAUUUUAUCAGUAUGCUGUGCCCAAGAACAAAUAAUUGGCCAAUAUUAAAAUCGUACGCUACUUUUUUUUUCUAAAUGAAUUGAAAAUAAAACUAAAAUCAGUAGUUUAAAUGCUACAAACGAAUUUAGGCAACAAAGCAUAGUGUAAAGUAUGAAAAAUGUAUAUUAAUUUUACAUUUA